AUUAAAUAAUCCCCCAUGGUCUUAAUCCAAGUGUAUAAAAAACAAAUCCUUCCUGGAACAGAUCUAUUCUGAAGCUGAACAGAAUAAAGUCGAAAUAAUAAAGAAAAUAGCAAAGUAAAGUCUCAAUUGGGAAGAACAAGAAAAUUUAAUCAAGUUGACCAAAGCGGAUAAUAUUGAUGAUAUCUGAAGGUAAUUUGAGUUCUGAUCUUAUUUUAUUUGGAAAAUGAAAUGAAAAACAAUUGGCAAAUGUAUAUUAUUUAUUUGUGCUGUGUCGGCCCUUCUAAAUUUAAUUUUGAACACAACAAAAGUUGGAAGACUAACCAAGAAUUUGAAUUUUAUCAUUCAUAUACGACAAUGACAAAGUGAUAAAUAAAAUGUACGUACAAUUUUAAGAUGACGAUUAUCUAUUUUAUAUAAUUGUAUACACUAAUAUAAUAUAAUAUAUCAUAUUAUAAUAUAAUAUAUAGGGCUAAUUAUUUGAGGUUAUUAUUCUUCGUUGUAAAGCCUGGAUAUGUACAUUGUAUAUGAUCUUUUCUUUAUACCGUCUUUUCAUCAGGUAUACUGUAUGCCGUGACUUGACAUGACUACAGCAUGCUAUUGUAUAAUCUCGCUCUCCAUCAAAAGUCAAAUUGUUGCCUCUUCAAUUGCAUGAGCCUGACUAUGAUUAAGGAUUUGCUCAUCAUGUGGCACGAGGAUCGUGAUGGGGUAAAAUAGGAACAGGAAUUUAUAUGAAGAAUUUAUUUGAAAAUGAAAUUUGGGAAUGACCUGGGAUUUGCAAUAGUAAUUUUAAAUUGGUGAUUGGAAUGGGAUUUGGCCGUGGCAAGAGACUCAGCUUUAUAUAUGAAUAUUAAGGAAAUUAAAAGUGAACAAACCAAUUUUUGACUUUCAGUUUUGAGGAUCUGGUCAGUCUGGGUCGUUCUAGUGUAUACAUAUAUAACUAACAUUUUAGACCAGUCUGAGAAACCGCAAGCGUCUAUUUGAGACAGUUUAGUUGCCCAAUGUAGAAUCGGGAAUUUAGAACAAUACUUUAAAAUUUAACUGCUUGCACAAUCACCUUAUAAUGUUUAUGAGAAACUUACUAUAGACAUUGUUUAGCGAUAUCAUGGUGUACUUGGGUUUAUAAGCUGUAAAUCUUAAGGUGUAAAAUUGUCCUUCAAAUAAAGAGGAACAACUAUUUUCCCACAUCAUUUAAAAAGGGGGUAAAAAUUACCCCCUAAAUUAAGAGUAAUAAGGUAUCCUUUAUUAAUUAAAGAGAGCAGAUUUUUAUAAACGUUCGUCAGAUAUAAGGAAUAUUUUUUGACAAUUGUUCCUGUGAAAAUUUGCCCUUUGGUGACAAAUGUGCUCCAAUUUUUUAGUAAAGCUAAAGAAAAUUUUAAACAAAAAUGACAUCUCUUAAAUGUAGUGCUGCAUGAUUGUCGCUCUGGUUCCAACGUGCUCAGUUUGUUUUCUUUUAAGCAGUUUAUCGCUGAGAACAGAUGGCGGUUGGGAAGAAAGGCCCCAAUUAACCUUCGAGUGGUGUUAAAGUGUUUUCUGAAUUUUGGGGUAUAGCCGUAGUUUUCGAAGAUACACAUGCAUGUUCACACAUCUCAUAUAAUUAUUAUGUACAUAGCGGUUUUUGUAACAGAUCCCAGUCAUUAAUAAUUUGAGCACGGACAAUUUAAAACAUAAAUUAUAUGUAUACUGCUAAAUUGUUGACGUCAGUAGCUAACAAAAAAUCGUAAAUCUAAAUUGUAGUUUUUACCGACUUACAUUACAUCUUCGUUAAUUUUAGUCCGUGAGAAGAAUUCGAAUGGCUGCCAAAAUCGGCGAUGUAGAUGAAUUUACCGAAUACAGGUGAGUGAAAAUAGCAUCGAAAGCUCGCAGAAUGGUCCGUAUGCAUGUUGGGUGCCAUUGUACGUAGCAAAGAACACAAUUCGCGAGCUUGAGUGUAUGAUUCAAUUACUUAAAAAGUAAGAGCCAACUUCAAAUAACAAUAACUAGUGGUAUCGUCCGAAAAUACAACAUGAUUAGCACGCAACAAUUGAUAUGCAUGCAUGGUGCUGUAAACUGAGGACUCAAGUUCGAGUUCAAAAUAUUUUCAAGGAAGAUAUUGUCAGUUGUUAAAGUUUUUUUAGCUCAGACGAAUUAAAAACAACUUUAAGAUAUUUAAAGGAUAUGUACAUUGUGCUUAUAGUUUUAACUUAUUAUUAUUUUUGUGCGGUUAUAGAAAUGAUUAUUGCGUGCAAUUUCCCUUCACCAAACAAGCUGCAU